rnacentral:rRNA from 1 species
AGACCCUAUGACAUUGUCGUGCACUAUUGUGUACUAGGCACCGACGGCCCGAARAGCAUCGUUGCAUGCUCCCAAAGCGACCCCAGGUCAGGCGGGACUACCCGCUGAGUUUAAGCAUAUCAAUAAGCG